CCUACGGGUGGCAGCAGUGAGGAAUAUUGGUCAAUGGGCGGGAGCCUGAACCAGCCAAGUCGCGUGAGGGAAGACGGUCCUAUGGAUUGUAAACCUCUUUAGGCGGGGAGCAAUGCCGGGCACGCGUGCCCGGAGGGAGAGUACCCGCAGAAUAAGCAUCGGCUAACUCCGUGCCAGCAGCCGCGGUAAUACGGAGGAUGCGAGCGUUAUCCGGAUUUAUUGGGUUUAAAGGGUGCGUAGGCGGAAUGCCAAGUCAGCGGUAAAAUCGCGGGGCUCAACCUCGCUCCGCCGUUGAAACUGGCGUUCUUGAGUGGGCGAGAAGUAUGCGGAAUGCGUGGUGUAGCGGUGAAAUGCAUAGAUAUCACGCAGAACUCCGAUUGCGAAGGCAGCAUACCGGCGCCCAACUGACGCUGAAGCACGAAAGCGUGGGUAUCGAACAGGAUUAGAUACCCUUGUAGUC
rnacentral:rRNA from 1 species